rnacentral:rRNA from 1 species
UACGGGGGGGGCAAGCGUUGUUCGGAAUUACUGGGCGUAAAGGGUUCGUAGGUGGCCAACUAAGUCAGACGUGAAAUCCCUCAGCUUAACUGGGGAACUGCGUCUGAUACUGGAUGGCUUGAGUUUGGGAGAGGGAUGCGGAAUUCCAGGUGUAGCGGUGAAAUGCGUAGAUAUCUGGAGGAACACCGGUGGCGAAGGCGGCAUCCUGGACCAACACUGACACUGAGGAGCGAAAGCCAGGGGAGCAAACGGGG